UUCCAAGCCAGGAGUUGUAGAAAAGAAUGCCACUUUCUGCUGGCUGAAGAAGGAUGAGAAAGUGAGGGACACAGAUAGAGCCACAUAAAGAACUGCAGAAAGGAUUCAUGGAAGGCAAAGGAGCCAGGAUGAGUGUGUUAGCUCUUACUUUAGGAAGAAAAAUCCAGUGAAGAGUUUUUAUCAUGGGGCCCAUGUCAUACUGUAGUAGAAAUUGGUCUGGCUCUGGCGAAGAGAGUCAAUCAGAAGAUCAGGCUGAAUAGAAUGACUUCAUAAAGUGGCGACAGUGGCAAUCUAGGUGAGGAAAGCUCUGGAUUAAGAUAGGAAAGGGACAAUGGAGCUGGAGUAGGUCUUACCACCCUGAUGUGAUGGAGUUAGUUACUUAGAAUUCUUUCACUGAGUCAUGGUCUCCAUGGAGCUUCAGAACCUAGUGCAUGCAGGGCACAUGUGUCCCGAUUCUGAAUUCAGGCUCAGAUUCAUUUAUUUUGACUGUAAAAUUCUCCUCAUCAGUGCUCACAAAGAGAGAUGACAGUAACUGCCUUCAGAGUCCACACUGCAAGAAGACGAAGCAGUGGCAUGCAAAGCUAAUCCCAUUGGCCCCUACAUGCAGAAACUCAACAGGAAAUCCCAAGACAAAGCAUUAAGCCCUUGGCAGACUUAAUUUUCUCUGAUACAGCAAUGCCGAAGGCCAAGUGAUGAAAUCUUCAGCAAGAAUAUGUCAUCAUAUUGUUUCUGGUGCAACUCUCAGAUAUCACCUGAGAAGUUUCUUUGUAUAGUGGAUAACAGUCAACUCAGAAGCUCACAACUGGUCAAAGUGUCUGUGGACUGUUCAUCUACAAAUGUGACAUCGAUCUCACUCUCAGGGACCAUUGAGAAAGACAAGGUCAAAGAUUGCAAGGGGCAGAAGACUCAGGGAAUUGGAACAGAAUAACAGAACCACUACACUCAUGAACACAUAAGAGCUAUGGUUGUCCGUACAAGCCCUGCACAAAAUCAAUCCAGGAAGCCUCUGCAAUCCUAAACCUGCUAGCAGGUUACUGAUUACUUGCAUAGCUCUUCUCUGGUGGCUCCUUUGACCUUGUUCUGAGAUUCUUCUGGAGAAGAGCGAAGGACUGGACGCACUUGAACUCUGGAGAUCACUGGAUACCACCACUUGUUAGAUUGUUGGCCAGGAUUGGCACUGAAUCUUCACACUCACCUUCCUCAUGCCCCAAGCCUCCCGCCUCUGUGGGAAACCAGCAAGCUGGAUUCAUCAACCCCACCUGAGUGGUGAAGGCGUACAAUUUAAAGAGUUGCAAAACUCCUACUUUCCUUUCUCCCACACUGGGAAGCCAUUGCUUGGCCACCUGUAUCCUAAUGUGCGAAAGGUCCAAAAGGAGCAGUGGGUUCCUUGAAUGACAUAAUCUCAUGAAGCUCAAGCCAGCCUUCCUUCAACUUGUUAUGCACCCUUCACUGUCUCUGAACUCUUGAUGCUCCUGUUUCUAUGUCCCAAGAGCAGGGGACAACAGGCACAUGUUACUAUAACCCCC
rnacentral:lncRNA from 1 species